AAACACUGAGGUGUGAAUGCGAAGGAACUUAGGUUCCGAAGUCGCAAAAGCCAUGCAUCCAAGAAAAGCUUCGACGUGUUUUAAUAAUUGCUCGUACCGUAAACCGACUCAGGUGAGUGAGGUGAAUAUCCUCAGACGAUUGGGUUAAAUUCACUUAAGGAACUCGGCAACUUAAUACCGUAACUUAGGGAUAAGGUAUGCCAUCUGAAGCGUAAGGACUUGCUCCCCAAGUUUUGGAUGGUCGCAGAGAAAUGGGAGUAGCGACUGUUUAACAAAAACACAGGGCUGUGCUAAGUCACAAGACGAUGUAUACAGCCUGACGCCUGCCCGGUGCUGGAAGGUUAAGAGGAUUAGUUAGCCGCAAGGCGAGGCUGAGAAUCGAAGCCCCAGUAAACGGCGGCCGUAAGUAUAACGGUCCUAAGGUAGCGAAAUUCCUUGUCGGGUAAGUUCCGACCUGCACGAAAGGCGUAACGACUUCUCCGGUGUCUCAAGUGGAUGCCCAGCGAAUUUGAAAUCUCGGUGAAAAUGCCGAGUACCCGCAGAAAGACGGAAAGACCCCGUGAACCUUUACUGUAACUUGGCAGUGAUUUUAGGUGUUGUAUGUGUAGGAUAGGUGGGAAUCUUUGAAGCCGGGACGCCAGUCUUGGUGGAGAUAACCUUGAAAUACCACCCUUAUUGCACUUGAGAUCUAACCUGCGGCCAUUAGCUGGCCGAGGAACACUGUCUGGUGGGCAGUUUGACUGGGGCGGUCGCCUCCCAAAGAGUAACGGAGGCGUACGAAGGUCACCUCAGCGCGAUCGGAAACCGCGCGUCGAGUGCAUUGGCAUAAGGUGGCUUAACUGCGAGACGUACAUGUCGAGCAGAUGCGAAAGCAGGUCAAAGUGAUCCGGUGGUCCCGCGUGGAAGGGCCAUCGCUCAACGGAUAAAAGGUACUCCGGGGAUAACAGGCUUAUCUCCCCCAAGAGUUCACAUCGACGGGGAGGUUUGGCACCUCGAUGUCGGCUCAUCACAUCCUGGGGCUGGAGCAGGUCCCAAGGGUUUGGCUGUUCGCCAAUUAAAGUGGUACGCGAGCUGGGUUCAGAACGUCGUGAGACAGUUUGGUCCUUAUCUUCUGUGGGCGUAGGAAAUUUGAAGGGAUUUGUCCUUAGUACGAGAGGACCGGGAUGAACGAACCUCUGGCGUUCCUGUUGUACCGCCAGGUGCAGCGCAGGGUAGCUACGUUCGGUUGAGAUAAUCGCUGAAAGCAUCUAAGCGAGAAGCUCACCCUAAGAUAAGAUUUCCCUGGGGCUUCGGCCCCCUAAAGACUCCUCGGAGACUACGAGGUUGAUAGGCAGAGGGUGUAAGGGCAGUGAUGUCUUCAGCUAAUCUGUACUAAUAGGUCGUGAGGCUUUAUUGA
rnacentral:rRNA from 1 species